UACGAAGGGGGCUAGCGUUGUUCGGAAUUACUGGGCGUAAAGCGCGCGCAGGCGGCUAUCCAAGUCAGUGGUGAAAGCCCGGAGCUCAACUCCGGAACUGCCAUUGAAACUGUUUAGCUUGAGUAUGAGAGAGGUGAGUGGAAUUCCCAGUGUAGAGGUGAAAUUCGUAGAUAUUGGGAAGAACACCGGUGGCGAAGGCGGCUCACUGGCUCAUUACUGACGCUCAGGCGCGACAGCGUGAGGAUCAAACAGG
rnacentral:rRNA from 1 species